rnacentral:rRNA from 1 species
GAUGAACGCUGGCGGCGUGCCUAAUACAUGCAAGUCGAGCGAACGUACGAGAAGCUUGCUUUUCUGAUGUUAGCGGCGGACGGGUGAGUAACACGUGGAUAACCUACCUAUAAGACUGUGAUAACUUCGGAAACCGGGCCCUACUCCGGAAAAAUUUUUGAACCUUAUGGUUCCAAACUUAAAAUCGGUUUUUCUGUUACUUUUAUGUGGCACCGCGCCGCAUUAGCUAGUUUGUAAGGUAACGGUUUACCAAGGCAACGGUGCAUAGCCGACCUGAGAGGGUGAUCGGCCACACUGGAAGUGAGACAGGGUCCAGACACCUAGGGGAGGCAGCAGUAGGGAAUCUUCCGCAAUGGGCGAAAGCCGGACGGAGCAAAGCCGCGUGAGUGAUGAAGGUCUUAGGAUCGGAAAACUCUGUUAUUAGGGAAGAACAUAUGUGUAAGUAACUGUGAACAUCUUGACGGUACCUAAUCAGAAAGCCACGGCUAACUACGUG